rnacentral:rRNA from 1 species
GAUGAACGCUGGCGGCGUGCCUAAUACAUGCAAGUCGAGCGAACGGACGAGAAGCUUGCUUCUCUGAUGUUAGCGGCGGACGGGUGAGUAACACGUGUAUCCCCUACCUAUAUUACUGGGAUAACUUCGGGAAACCGGAGCUAAUACCGGAUGAUAUUUUGAACCACAUGGUUCAAUAGUGAAAGACGGUCUUGCUGUCUCUUAUAGAUGGAUCCGCGCUGCAUUAGCUAGUUGGUACGGUAACGGCUUACCAAGGCAACGAUGCAUAGCCGACCGGAGAGGGGGAUCGGCCACACUGGAACUGAGACACGGUCCAGACUCCUACGGGAGGCAGCAGUAGGGAAUCUUCCGCAAAGGGCGAAAGCCUGACGGAGCAACGCCGCGUGAGUGAUGAAGGUCUUCGGAUCGUAAAACUCUGUUAUUAGGGAAGAACAUAUGUGUAAGUAACUGUGCACAUCGUGACGGUACCUAAUCAGAAAGCCACGGCUAACUACGUG